AUUCCUACGGGAGGCAGCAGUGGGGAUAUUGCGCAAUGGGCGAAAGCCUGACGCAGCAACGCCGCUUGCGGGAUGACGGCCUUCGGGUUGUAAACCGCUUUCAGCAGGGACGAAGGGUUACCUUGACGGUACCUGCAGAAGAAGCACCGGCUAACUACGUGCCAGCAGCCGCGGUGAUACGUAGGGUGCGAGCGUUGUCCGGAAUUAUUGGGCGUAAAGAGCUUGUAGGCGGUCUGUUGCGUCGGAAGUGAAAACUCAGGCUUAACCCUGAGCCUGCUUUCGAUACGGGCAGACUUGAGGAAUAUAGGGGAGAACGGAAUUCCUGGUGGAGCGGUGGAAUGCGCAGAUAUCAGGAGGAACACCAGUGGCGAAGGCGGUUCUCUGGACAUUUCCUGACGCUGAGAAGCGAAAGCGUGGGGAGCAAACAGGCUUAGAUACCCUGGUAGUCCACGCCGUAAACGGUGGGCACUAGGUGUGGGACCCAUUCCACGGGUUCCGUGCCGAAGCUAACGCAUUAAGUGCCCCGCCUGGGGAGUACGGCCGCGAGGCUAAAACUCAAAGGAAUUGACGGGGGCCCGCACAAGCGGCGGAGCAUGCGGAUUAAUUCGAUGCAACGCGAAGAACCUUACCUGGGUUUGACAUAUGCCGGAAACACCUAGAGAUAGGUGCCCCGCAAGCCGGUACAGGUGGUGCAUGGCUGUCGUCAGCUCGUGUCGUGAGAUGUUGGGUUAAGUCCCGCAACGAGCGCAACCCUCGUUCUAUGUUGCCAGCGGGUUAUGCCGGGAACUCAUAGAAGACUGCCGGGGUCAACUCGGAGGAAGGUGGGGAUGACGUCAAGUCAUCAUGCCCCUUAUGUCCAGGGCUUCACGCAUGCUACAAUGGCUGGUACAAAGGGCUGCGAUACCGCAAGGUGGAGCGAAUCCCAGAAAGCCAGUCUCAGUUCGGAUUGGGGUCUGCAACUCGACCCCAUGAAGUCGGAGUCGCUAGUAAUCGCAGAUCAGCAACGCUGCGGUGAAUACGUUCCCGGGCCUUGUACACACCGCC
rnacentral:rRNA from 1 species